UACAGAGGGGGCAAGCGUUGUUCGGAAUUACUGGGCGUAAAGGGCGCGUAGGCGGCCCGCUAAGUCGAACGUGAAAUCCCUGGGCUCAACCCAGGAACUGCGUCCGAUACUGGCAGGCUUGAAUCCGGGAGAGGGAUGUGGAAUUCCAGGUGUAGCGGUGAAAUGCGUAGAUAUCUGGAGGAACACCGGUGGCGAAGGCGGCAUCCUGGACCGGCAUUGACGCUGAGGCGCGAAAGCCAGGGGAGCAAAGCAGGG
rnacentral:rRNA from 1 species